rnacentral:lncRNA from 1 species
CGAUUCUUGAAUACCCGCUAGUCCAGGAUAUAUAACUGCUCAAGAUAUCAUCUUACCACCUUAUGUAGAAAUCGUUGAUAAUACACAACAUAUAGCUACCUUGACAGAACCAACUGAUUUGUGUAUUGGAUUACAAAUCAAGAGAAAUCGCGGAUAUCUUAUCAAAAUGCCACGUAACUUUCAAGAUGGAAGUUAUCCUGGCUAGAAUCCGUUACUUG